rnacentral:rRNA from 1 species
CAGUCGAACGGACUCAUAUUGAAACCUAGUGAUUUAUGAGUUAGUGGCGGACGGGUGAGUAACGCGUGGAUAACCUACCGUAUACCGGGGGAUAACACUUAGAAAUAGGUGCUAAUACCGCAUAAGCGCACGGCUCCGCAUGGGGCAGUGUGAAAAACUCCGGUGGUAUACGAUGGAUCCGCGUCUGAUUAGCUAGUUGGCGGGGUAACGGCCCACCAAGGCAGCGAUCAGUAGCCGGCCUGAGAGGGUGGACGGCCACAUUGGGACUGAGACACGGCCCAAACUCCUACGGGAGGCAGCAGUGGGGAAUAUUGCACAAUGGGGGAAACCCUGAUGCAGCGACGCCGCGUGAGUGAAGAAGUAUCUCGGUACGUAAAGCUCUAUCAGCAGGGAAGAAAAUGACGGUACCUGACUAAGAAGCCCCGGCUAACUACGUGCCAGCAGCCGCGGUAAUACGUAGGGGGCAAGCGUUAUCCGGAUUUACUGGGUGUAAAGGGAGCGUAGACGGCAGCACAAGUCUGGAGUGAAAUCCCGGGGCUUAACCCCGGAACUGCUUUGGAAACUGUGCGGCUGGAGUGCAGGAGGGGUAAGCGGAAUUCCUAGUGUAGCGGUGAAAUGCGUAGAUAUUAGGAGGAACACCGGUGGCGAAGGCGGCUUACUGGACUGUAACUGACGUUGAGGCUCGAAAGCGUGGGGAGCAAACAGGAUUAGAUACCCU